UACGUAGGGUGCGAGCGUUGUCCGGAAUUAUUGGGCGUAAAGGGCUCGUAGGCGGUUUGUCGCGUCGGGAGUGAAAACCCAGGGCUUAACCCUGGGCUGGCUUCCGAUACGGGCAGACUAGAGGUAGGCAGGGGAGAGCGGAACUCCUGGUGUAGCGGUGGAAUGCGCAGAUAUCAGGAAGAACACCGGUGGCGAAGGCGGCUCUCUGGGCCUUACCUGACGCUGAGGAGCGAAAGCGUGGGGAGCAAACAGG
rnacentral:rRNA from 1 species